rnacentral:rRNA from 1 species
GAUGAACGCUGGCGGUAUGCCUUACACAUGCAAGUCGAACGAAAAUUAGCUUCGGUUAAUUUUAGUGGCGGACGGGUGAGUAACACGUGAGAAUUUGCCUUUAGGAGGGGGAUAACGAGUGGAAACAUUCGCUAAAACCCCAUAUGCCCACGGGUGAAAAAGAGGAAACUCUGCCUGAAGAGAAGCUCGCGGCUGAUUAGCUAGUUGGUAGGGUAAUGGCCUACCAAGGCGACGAUCAGUAGCUGGUCUGAGAGGACGAUCAGCCACACUGGAACUGAGACACGGUCCAGACUCCUACGGGAGGCAGCAGUGAGGAAUUUUCUGCAAUGGGCGAAAGCCUGACAGAGCAAUACCGCGUGAGGGAUGAAGACUUACUGAGUUGUAAACCUCGGUGCCUUAAGGAAGAAGAUCUGACGGUACUUAAGGUGGAAAGCAUCGGCUAACUCCGUGCCAGCAGCCGCGGUAAAAC